AGAGCGAACGCUGGCGGCAGGCCUAAUACAUGCAAGUCGAACGGAUCCUUCGGGAUUAGUGGCGGACGGGUGAGUAACACGUGGGAACGUACCCUUUGGUUCGGAACAACUCAGGGAAACUUGAGCUAAUACCGAAUGUGCCCUUCGGGGAAAAGAUUUAUCGCCAUUGGAGCGGCCCGCGUCUGAUUAGCUAGUUGGUAGGGUAAAGGCCUACCAAGGCUACGAUCAGUAGCUGGUCUGAGAGGAUGAUCAGCCACACUGGGACUGAGACACGGCCCAGACUCCUACGGGAGGCAGCAGUAGGGAAUCUUGCGCAAUGGGCGAAAGCCUGACGCAGCCAUGCCGCGUGAAUGAUGAAGGUCUUAGGAUUGUAAAAUUCUUUCAGCGGGGACGAUAAUGACGGUACCCGCAGAAGAACGCCCCGGCUAACUUCGCGCCAGCAGCCGC
rnacentral:rRNA from 1 species